GCUUCUGCAGCACAUACUAAUAUUGAAAUGAUACAGAGAAGAUUAGCAUGGCCCCUACACAAGGAUGACGCAUGAUUUUGUGAUAUAUUCCAUAUUUUU
rnacentral:snRNA from 1 species